rnacentral:lncRNA from 1 species
GCUUAAACACAAUAACAGCUGUUCGAAACAUCCUUUUGUUAAGUGUGCUGGGCACCUGAUCAAAAAAUGAGCACUCAAAUUAGACGAGGAGAACCCAGCCCACAAUCUGGGGGAAAUUCUAAGGCAGCAGCUGAAGGAUCGGCAACUGAAAGAGAGAGAAGCCUGGAGGCAAAACGUGCUCCAGUGCUACAUGAAGAACCAGUAUCGGUAAGGACACCAUUUUCCAAACAUGUAAAAUGCCUGAAAGACUUCAUGAAGGAUCCAAAAAGGGAAGAACCUCUCGUAGGUUUGGAAUAUAUACUUGAAAUCCGAUCUAAAGGGAAAAAACUCCCUUUUUAUGAAUGCGAGCUAUGCCAGUUUAAUAUGGAGUUGGUGCCGAUGAUAGAACAUGUCACUGGCCAAAAACACAGAAAAAAAUAUCUUAUGAAACAUUAUCCAGAGAAGGUAAAGAGGAACCCAAAUGAAAGUAAAGAAGAAAAAUUUUGGUUUUUUAAACGGAUAGCCAAAGAGGUAGAGAAGAUUGAAGGUUUAAAAAUGUAUAAGCGUGAAAUUCGUGAGAAACCCAACGUGCCAAGUAAGUAAUAAUUUUGUGUUUUUAGUAUAAUGAAUUGAAAACAGGUGAAGUUUCUAAAUUCUGUUUAAACACACAUAUAACUGUGUAACAGUGAUCAGGAAAUAUGAAAAUGUUCUUGAAAUCCCUGAGGGCAUGGAUGAGCAGACUUUAGGAAGGAUAGACUUUGCUCUUUAUUGGAAUCCUGUGAUCCAGCAAUCCAGCAUCAGAUGUCCAUGAACUCAUCUUGAGUAGCAGAAAUGUAAAGUUGAUGACAGUCCUUACACACAAAUCAAUUAUGUUCAUUCUAAUUUCCCUUCAUUUCUGGAAUACAGUUUAGUAGAAGUUUAGGGUUAGUUUGUUAUGGUUUUUAUUGAACGACUGGGAGUUGGCAGUCCUUGCUACUCUUGCUAUGUAUGAAUUGGAAAAACCAUCAUAGGAUGCACUGCUCAUAUAUUCAGUGCACAUUAGGUUUUGCAUGCAGCAGCUUUGUACUGACAUAUUACAUAUGCUUAAAGAAACUGAUACAAUUACAUUAACAGUAUUAUGUAAGCCUUCAAUCUGAAUUGACAAAAAGAUACCAGUAUUGCUCUGAAAUUACCACAGGUUAAUUCCCAACUUUUCCAUGUGUUGUGGACUGCUUGAUUAUGUGGUGCACAUUAUAUUUGAAAUGAUUAAGCAAAUGUGUAGCUGCUUCAUAUUCCAUAAUGACAAGUGCUUCACUUAACUGAAUCCUUAAUGUGUGAAGUUGCUUGGUAAACAUAGGUAGGUUCUAUAAUGAGAAACUACAACUGGAAAUAUUAUAAGAGAAGCAGGUGGUGUUAAAUUAAGUACUGGAAUUCACUUAAGAACAAAAUACAUGGGAACCUGUGUAGCAGUCUUGGAAGUGAUCAUGAGAGUGGAGACAGAGAGAGGGGCUCCAGAGGUUGUCUGGCAGCGUGUGUGAACAUACUGUGCUCAUAUACAGAAACCAAGGCUGACCAUGACUGACAGCAGAGGACAAGGUGAGAGGAGAUUUUACACUGGCCAUGC